rnacentral:rRNA from 1 species
UACGAAGGGGGCGAGCGUUGUUCGGAAUUACUGGGCGUAAAGCGCACGUAGGCGGCUUUGCAAGUCAGAGGUGAAAGCCCGGGGCUCAACCCCGGAAUUGCCUUUGAGACUGCAUCGCUAGAAUUGUGGAGAGGUAAGUGGAAUUCCGAGUGUAGAGGUGAAAUUCGUAGAUAUUCGGAAGAACACCAGUGGCGAAGGCGACUUACUGGACACAUAUUGACGCUGAGGUGCGAAAGCGUGGGGAGCAAACAGG